GACGAACGCUGGCGGCGUGCUUAACACAUGCAAGUCGAACGGAAAGGCCCUGCGUUUGUGCGGUUCUCGAUUGGCGAAGGGGGGAGUAACACGUGAGUAACCUGCCCUUGACUUUGGGAUAACUUCAGGAAACUGGGGCUAAUAUCGUAUAGGAGCUCCUGCUGCAGUGUGGGGGUUGGAAAGUUUCGGCGGUUGGGGAUGGACUCGCGGCUUAGGAGCUUGUUGGUGGGGUAGUGGCUUACCAAGGGUUUGACGGGUAGCCGGCCUGAGAGGGUGAACGGCCACAUUGGGCCUGAGAUACGGCGCAGACUCCUACGGGAGGCAGCAGUGGGGAAUAUUGCACAAUGGGCGGAAGCCUGAUGCAGCAACGCCGCGUGCGGGAUGACGGCCUUCGGGUUGUAAACCGCUUUCGCCUGUGACGAAGCGUGAGUGACGGUAAUGGGUAAAGAAGCACCGGCUAACUACGUG
rnacentral:rRNA from 1 species